AAGAAAUUUAAUAAUUUUGAAAAUGGAUUUUUUUGUUUUGGCAAGAGCAUGAGAGCUUUUACUGGGCAAGAAGACAAGAGAUGGAGAGUCCAGCCGGGCCUGCGCUUAAGUGCGCGGUCUUGCUAGGCUUGUAAGUUUCUUUCUUGCUAUUCCAAACGGUGAGAGAUUUCUGUGCUUUUGUUAUAGGACAAUUAAAACCGUUUCAAUACAACACACUGUGGAGUUUUCAUAUCUUUGCAACUUUUUCUUUGGGCAUUCGAGCAAUCGGGGCCCAGAGGUAACAAACACAAACAAUUUUAUUUAUUCAUUAAAUUUUUGUCAAAAACAAGAAUUUUCGUAACUGGAAAUUUUAAAAUAUUAA
rnacentral:ncRNA from 22 species